GAUGAACGUUGGCGGCGUGCCUAAUACAUGCAAGUCGAGCGAACGGACGAGAAGCUUGCUUUUUUGUUGUUAGCGGCGGACGGGUGAGUAACAGGUGGAUAACCUACCUAUAAGACUGGGAUAACUUCGGGAAACCGGAGCUAAUACCGGAUAAUAUUUUGAACCGCAUGGUUCAAAAGUGAAAGACGGUCUUGCUGUCACUUAUAGAUGGAUCCGCGCUGCAUUAGCUAGUUGGUAAGGUAACGGCUUACCAAGGCAACGAUGCAUAGCCGACCUGAGAGGGUGAUCGGCCACACUGGAACUGAGACACGGUCCAGACUCCUACGGGAGGCAGCAGUAGGGAAUCUUCCGCAAUGGGCGAAAGCCUGACGGAGCAACGCCGCGUGAGUGAUGAAGGUCUUCGGAUCGUAAAACUCUGUUAUUAGGGAAGAACAUAUGUGUAAGUAACUGUGCACAUCUUGACGGUACCUAAUCAGAAAGCCACGGCUAACUACGUG
rnacentral:rRNA from 1 species